AAGUCGUAACAAGGUUUCCGUAGGUGUAAGUAACCGGCUCCGAAAUCAUAACCUCUAAAAAAACAUACUAAUUUCGUCUUUAGGAACCUGCGGAAGGAUCAUUAAAAGAGAGCCCGGGGUGCCUUUUGGCCCCCAGACCUCCCACCCUUUGCAAACAUACCUUGAGUUGCUUUGGCGGGGCGAGACCAGAAAUGGUUCCGUUGGCCCCUCCCCGGGGCUAGCGUGCCCCCGCCAGAGGAUCAUAAGAAUCUUGCUUAAAAAAACCAUGUCUGAAAAAUCUUACUAUUAAAAAUAGCGAAAAAACUUUCAACAACGGAUCUCUUGGUUCUG
rnacentral:misc_RNA from 1 species